UUCUGUCUCCCUUUUCCACCAUCUGCGAACCAAAGACCACCCCCAAAACCGCGUGGUAGCGUGCGGGUUCGUCGUUGCACCAGGGGCAUUGGGCUACGCCGCCACGAUAUCUCACCUUCAUCAGCGCUUUGUGCCUAAAUCCAGACCUAAGGCCUGCGCGGGACCUGUGUGCAGCCAGCCGAGGCAAUUCCGGAUGAGAUUGGCGGCUCAUCAGCCACCAAUUGCUCACCGCAAUUCCGCACCAUCGUAGAUACGCGCAUUACCGUGGGCCGG
rnacentral:lncRNA from 7 species